CAGAGGGUGCGAGCGUUAAUCGGAAUUACUGGGCGUAAAGCGUGCGUAGACGGUUAUUUAAGUCGGGUGUGAAAGCCCCGGGCUCAACCUGGGAAUUGCAUUCGAGACUGAAUAGCUAGGGUACGGUAGAGGGAAGUGGAAUUUCCGGUGUAGCGGUGAAAUGCGUAGAUAUCGGAAGGAACAUCAGUGGCGAAAGCGACUUCCUGGACCAGUACCGACGUUCAGGCACGAAAGCGUGGGGGGCAAACAGGAUUAGAUACCCUGGUAGUCCACGCCAUAAACGAUGAGGACUAGACGUUGGAGGGGUAAGCCUUUCAGUGUCGUAGCUAACGCGCUAAGUCCUCCGCCUGGGGAGUACGGCCGCAAGGUUG
rnacentral:rRNA from 1 species